GUCUCGCCACGUUGCACGGGCUGGUCUUCAACUCCUGGGCUCAAGUAAUCCGCCCACCCCCGCCUACCAGAGUACUUAGUACUUCUAGCACAUUUAUUGUGCUUCUAGUGUGAGAAUAUACAACUGUCUUUUUUUUCUUAAGAGUCAGUCUCACCCAUUUUAAGUGUAGAAUUCAGUGACUGUGAGAGGAGAGAAGCUAAAGGCACACUAAGGAAAGAAACAGGCCCCAUGCUAAAAUACUUUGAGGGUUACCAAAGGUGAUAAUUGUUGGUGUGCCUAUGAGCGUUUGUCUCAGGAGAUAAAAUGUGCUGCUUCUGUUCUAAAAAAUGGGCCAUGUCAUUGGCCUCCUGGGAAGUAUUUUUUAUUGUUUCCAAGGUGAAGAUACAUGAGAAGGCUUCUAGGCUUUUACAUAAAGUCCACGGAAACUUGAAUUGUUGGACUAUACAGUGAAUCCUUUGAAUCCAUGGUUUUCACAUCUGUGGAUGCAGCCAGGCUUGGAUUCAAAAUAUUUGGACUGGGUGUGGUGGUGUUUGCCUGUAGUCUCAUUUCCUAGGGAGGCUCAAAUGGGAGGAUUGCUUGAGCCCAGGAGUUUGGGGCCAGCCUGGGCAACAUAGCAAGACCUUGUCUCUUAAAAAAAUAAAAAUAAAAAAUUGGGAACCCCCCCCCCCGAAAAUAACAAUGUGGCAAUAAAAAUAGUACAAAUAAAACCAAUACAGCAUAACAACUAUUUACAUAGCAUAGUCAGGGGUCCCCAGAGCCCGGGCCGAGGACCGGUACCACUCCCAUGGCCUGUCAGGAACCAGGCCGCACAGUAGGGAGUGAGUGGCGGGUGAACGAGCAUUAUUGCCUGAGCCCUGUCUCCUGUCAGAUCAGCAGCGGCAUUAGAUUCUCACGGGAGCGUGAACCCUAUUGUGAACUGUGCAUGUGAGGGAUCUAGGUUGCACACUAGAUCUCACAGUAUGAGAAUCAAAGUAAUGCCUGAUGAUCGGAUGAUUGGAUGAUCUGAUGGUUUCAUCCCAAAACCAUCCCCACUCCGCCCCCCGCCCCAGCAUCUGUGGAAAAGUUGUCUUCCACGAAACUGGUCCCUGGUGCUAAAACGGUUGGGGACCACUGUUAUACGUAUUCUAGGGAUGAUAUAAAGUAUACAAGAGGAUAUGCAUAGUUUAUAUGCAAAUACUAUGCCAUUUUAUAGAAGGGACUUGAGCAUCCAUGGAUUUUGGUAUCCGUGCUGGGGGCCAGGGAGGGGGUUGGUGUCCUGGAAUCAAUCCCUGGAGGAUACAAGGGAGGGAAGAGUACCAGGAAAGUAGUUCCUCUGGUCCUGAGUUGACUUCGUUUUUCAGUGUCUUACUCCACUUGUCUCUUAUCAUUCACCCCUAAGCCUGUGCUCUUGAUGGUUGAAAAUUUAUUUUACUAUGUGUGUUUUAUAUUAGAAAUCUGAUCAUACGAUAUAUUUGCAGGAAGAAAUAUAUAAAUAAGAGACUACUGACUAGAUUUUGUUUUCCUAUUGUUAACAUCAUUUAUAUUUUGGCAAAAGGGAGUUGGAUCUCAUAUAUAAAAAUUCCCUCUGAACGUUUGCCAGAAUCAGUAUGCUGUCAUUCCUAGUUAAAAAGAUUUUCUUUUUUCAAACUUAACAUGCAUCUCCUUUUUUGCAUAGCAGAUGGGAAAGAUCAAUGAGCUGCAGUAGAGAAUUACAGGGUUUUUCCCCCCUCUAUUUGAUCUUUGAUCUUAAAACAGCUUUUAACCCUAUAGUAAUCUCCCAAGAGAUUUGAGAAAAUAUUUUGUAAAACAAAAUUAUGAGGACUAUGAAUACGUAAUUGGUAUUCUCCCAGCAUUCUGACAAACUUUAAGCAAAUGCUUUUAAGAAAUCAUUGUCAGCUGUUAUGUGUUUUUUAUUAGGUUGAAUUCUCAGUAUAAUUUAUGUCCACAUGCAUUAUUGCAUUUCAGUUUUGAAUUUUAUUGUUAUGGAAAUAAUGAGAGUUUUCUUGAUAUAACAACAGCUGGAAAAAAUGACAGUGAUCAACAGUCAAAACUCUAAGUUUUAAGAUUAAAAAUUAUAUUAGAAUAUUUUGGAAUGCUGCUUUUAAGUUGAUUUUUCAAUAAACUUUAAAUUUGUUUCAUAGCGUUAUCUUUUAGCAAACAAAUUCACGCAUUAAUAAAAACAAAAUUGUGUACAGAAAAAGCAUGGCUUCUAAUCUUAAAAGCAAGACUAAACACAGAAACAUCUGGACAAUGACAAGUUCAUGACUUUUGUUUUUUAACCCAUCAGAUUGCUGAGGUUAUAGGGCAAUCGGCUAGCUUGACGUCUAAGAAGAGACAGAUGUAGGGAAAGACAUCAGCACUUGCUUACCUGGGGCACCCACAGCUGGACACUGGAGAAGAGCAGCUGCUGCAGAUACAGUAAGAAACUCUGAAAUCCCAGCACUGUGGGAGGCUGAGGAAAUGUUGAGUAACAACUAUGUGAGAAGUACUGUGCUGGAACCCGUGAUACAAAGACUAUUAAGGUCAGUGUCUGCCCUCGAUAAACCUUCAGGGAAAUGUAGCAAAAACUCUAAUAGAGGGAAAUUCAAAUGCCACGUGGGACAUUCUAAUUAAUGUAGCUUCAUUUAGCGUGUUUUGUCCAGUUUCCUUGUAUCUUCUCCUUGGAAUUCUUGGAAUUCUUGUAUCUUCUCCUUGGAAUUCUUGGAAUUCUUGUAUCUUCUCCUUGGAAUUCUUGGAAUUCUUGUAUCUUCUCCUUGGAAUUCUUCUAUCAUUUAGAGUCUCAACGCUAUUACUCUUCCCUUAUUCCCCCUUCCUCAUUCAAGCUAUUUUGGAAUUCUCAGGAGUUCCUGAUGUUUUCCUAACUUAGAGAAAAGCAGUGGCUUUGUCCUGACUGUUCCUUAUCUAGUAUUACAGUUACUCAGAAUACCUCUUUGCGUAACACACUACCCUUACCAAAGAAGCUUCAGAGUCUGAAUAUAAAGUUUUCACUUAACAUUUUGCUGCUUUGUUUUGUUUAUUCCAUGGUCUCUUCAUAGAAUAAAACAGUUAACUUAUGAAAUCCGUGAAACCUCUUUGGAAAAAAAUGUAUAUACAUUUUGCAAUAAUUUCAGAUAAUCACAAACACAUUCUUUAAAAAAAAAUAAUUUCAACUUUUAUUUUAGAUUCAAGGAAUACAUGUGCAAGUUUGUG
rnacentral:lncRNA from 1 species